GACGAACGCUGGCGGCGUGCUUAACACAUGCAAGUCGUACGGUAAGGCCCUUUCGGGGGUACACGAGUGGCGAACGGGGGAGUAACACGUGAGUAACCUGCCCACAACUUUGGGAUAACGCUAGGAAACUGGUGCUAAUACUGGAUAUGUGCUCCUGCUGCAUGGUGGGGGUUGGAAAGCUCCGGCGGUUGUGGAUGGACUCGCGGCCUAUCAGCUUGUUGGUGGGGUAGUGGCCUACCAAGGCGGCGACGGGUAGCCGGCCUGAGAGGGUGACCGGCCACAUUGGGACUGAGAUACGGCCCAGACUCCGACGGGAGGCAGCAGUGGGGAAUAUUGCACAAUGGGCGCAAGCCUGAUGCAGCAACGCCGCGUGCGGGAUGACGGCCUUCGGGUUGUAAACCGCUUUCAGCAGGGACGAAGCUUUUUGUGACGGUACCUGCAGAAGAAGCACCGGCUAACUACGUG
rnacentral:rRNA from 1 species